rnacentral:sRNA from 1 species
GCUGCCUAUAGUUCCAGCUGCUUGGGAGGCUAAUGCAGGAGGAUAGCCUGGGCUCAGGAGCUGGAGGCUAUAGUGUGCUAUGCUGACUGGGUGUCCACAUUAGGUGUCAGCAGUGGGACUAUGCCUGCGAAUAGCCACUGUACCUUCAGCCUGAGCAAUAGAGCAAGACCCUGUCUUUG